UCCGCCUGGGGACUACGGUCGCAAGACUAAAACUCAAAGGAAUUGACGGGGACCCGCACAAGCGGUGGAGCAUGUGGUUUAAUUCGAUGCAACGCGAAAAACCUUACCACUCCUUGACAUGGAGAUUAGAUCCUUCUUAACGGAAGGGCGCAGUUCGGCUGGAUCUCGCACAGGUGCUGCAUGGCUGUCGUCAGCUCGUGUCGUGAGAUGUUGGGUUAAGUCCCGCAACGAGCGUAACCCUCAUCCUUAGUUGCCAGCGGGUUAAGCCGGGCACUUUAAGGAAACUGCCAGUGGUAAACUGGAGGAAGGUGGGGAUGAUGUCAAGUCAGCACGGCCCUUAUGGGGUGGGCUACACACGUGCUACAAUGGUGACUACAAUAGGUUGCAAUGUCGCAAGGCUGAGCUAAUCCGUAAAAGUCAUCUCAGUUCGGAUUGUCCUCUGCAACUCGAGGGCAUGAAGUCGGAAUCGCUAGUAAUCGUGGAUCAGCAUGCCACGGUGAAUACGUUCUCGGGUCUUGUACACACUGCCCGUCACGCCAUGGGAAUUGGCUUAACUCGAAGCUGGUGCGCCAACCGAAAGGAAGCAGCCAU
rnacentral:rRNA from 1 species